UUCUAGCCCAGUCCAAGUUGGCUUCCAGGAUAAUCUUAGGUCGUUCCCAGUCCCCAACCUCCCCUGUUCCUCUCCUGACCUCCCACGCCGACCGCCGCAUAUCACCACUCCCUUACGAUCCUCUUUCCCGGCGUGCCUUACCUCACCACUCCCUUGCGACCCUCUGUCCCGGCGCGCCGCCCCUCAACACUCCCCUGCGAACCUCCAUCCAAGCGCGCAGUCCCUCAUCUCCAUUCUCCGGCGACCCUGCAUCCCGGCGAGCCAUCCAUCGUCACCGCUCCCCUGCGACCAACGGUGAAUCCAAGGUACGACGUGCCGCCCUUCUUCACCACUCCCCUGUCACCCUGCAUCCCGGCGCGCUGCCCGUCGUCACCGCUCCCCUGUGACCCUGCAUCCCAUCGCGCGCCCCCUCGUCACCGCUCCCCUGCGACGACGGCGAAUCCAAGGUGGCUUAUACAGCGUCAAUGAAUAUGGUGUCAGCAAGAGGUUUAUGGCGCUGUUUGGCAGUAGGUUUUAUUGUUGUUCGUGUUCCUGCUCUUCGAUUCCAACAAUCUUCUCGAUUAUUGGAUGACACAAGGAUUGAGUCAAGCUUGCACUUCUGAUGUGGGAUGAUGGUUGUGUGUGUAGCCCUGCCCAAACUCUGGCCCCUCCAAAGUCAGGUGCAGGAGUUCAGGUUCAUUCUUCAUCAGUUUUAAUGCCAAGUAAUCAUAUUUGGAUGACACUUCCUGAUCAACGGGUGAGUUAUUUGGUGCAUACUAUUAAUGGAUCAGCACUUGGAUGGUUGGAUUGUGAUGUGGACAUAUUAUUGAAUAGGUCCAAUAUAUAAUAAUGGGAGUAAGCAUAAGAGCAUUGCCUACAGGUUUAUAUUCGGUCAGAACAUGCAUAUACACCAUUUACGCCAAUUGCUUUCUUCAUGCAAUUGUGCAACUGUUAACAUUUCCCUGAUGUUGCAAUAUUAUAAGGGAAUUUAACUGAAUUUAAUCUGCUUGUCAGAUUUAUGUCAAUAUUCUUUUUUAAAGAUGGAGCUACAUAAUUGUUCGUUGGUGAUCGACCUCACCAAUCUGGCGUUUUGGUGUUUGAUCGAGGUACCAACAGAAUUUGAUUGUGUAGUUUCAACAGCCUUACUUAGGACUAUUCUCGUUUCAUCUUCCAUUUGGAGGGACUAUGAUAGCAUUUAUGAAGCUUUUGUAAUUCCUUUACGAGUUCUUUCCUUUCAAUCCAUCGAUAACUUUGAUUUUCUCUAACACGCAUGAACUAAAGUAUUCUUGAAGAGCCUGGAAAAAAAUAACGGAGAAAUAUCUCUUGCUAUAGUUGUAAGUUGUGUUCUUAAAUUUAAACUUGAUGGUGUUGAACUUACAAAUGAAUUCUGGGAAGUGCAUGUUGAUAUGGAACUUGUGAAGACAUGAUAUUUGGUACGGAGUCGCAAACUGCAAUACUCUCGGUAAUGCAGACAAAACAAAGAUUGCAUGGCCUUCAACCUUUUGUAUGUGACUAAUAUCCUGCCUCUAUCACUACUUGCAUCAUGUCAAUGCAUUGUGUGUUAACAAUUCAUUUUGUUUUUGUGUUUGUAGAUUCAAAAGAUAAAUGGAUGAUUAUAUGGGUGCAUGGCAAGUAUACUACAAAGAUGAUGAUGAUGUUCCUGAUCAUGAUGACGAAGAUGGAUGCUUACAGUUUUAGUUAAGUUGUAGGGAUGAUGUUCUUCGGUUAUGUUUUAGUUAAGUUGUAUGGAUGUGAUGGAUACUUUCAGUUUAACUUUUGAUGUCAUGAAAAUAAUUGGAUUUUGCAUCACAUUUGGAUGAUGUUCCUCCUGUAAUAUCCACUAUUGUAAUCCAACAUUUUUAUCUAAUAUAUGAUUUGUUCCUCCCA